AACAAACGCUGGCGGCGUGCCUAAUACAUACAAGUCGAACGGGGAAAGCUUUCGGGUGAGUACUAGUGGCGCACGGGUGAGGAACGCGUGGAUAAUCUGCCUUAGAGUGGGGGAUAACUAGUCGAAAGAUUAGCUAAUACCGCAUAAGACCACAAGAUCUGCGGAUCAAGGGGUCAAAGGUUCUUCGCUCUAAGAUGAGUCCGCGUAAGAUUAGCUAGUUGGUGAGGUAACGGCUCACCAAGGCGACGAUCUUUAACUGGUCUGAGAGGAUGAUCAGUAACACUGGAACUGAGACACGGUCCAGACUCCUACGGGAGGCAGCAGUAGGGAAUAUUGCACAAUGGAGGAAACUCUGAUGCGGCGACGCCGCGUGAGUGAUGAAGGCCUUCGGGUCGUAAAGCUCUGUCGCAGGGGAAUAACACAAUGAAUGUACCCUGUAAGAAAGGAUCGGCUAACUUCGUGCCAGCAGCCGCGGUAAUAC
rnacentral:rRNA from 1 species